CUACGAUGCAAGUCGAGCGGUAGCACAGAGAGCUUGCUCUCGGGUGACGAGCGGCGGACGGGUGAGUAAUGUCUGGGAAACUGCCUGAUGGAGGGGGAUAACUACUGGAAACGGUAGCUAAUACCGCAUAACGUCGCAAGACCAAAGUGGGGGACCUUCGGGCCUCAUGCCAUCAGAUGUGCCCAGAUGGGAUUAGCUAGUAGGUGGGGUAACGGCUCACCUAGGCGACGAUCCCUAGCUGGUCUGAGAGGAUGACCAGCCACACUGGAACUGAGACACGGUCCAGACUCCUACGGGAGGCAGCAGUGGGGAAUAUUGCACAAUGGGCGCAAGCCUGAUGCAGCCAUGCCGCGUGUAUGAAGAAGGCCUUCGGGUUGUAAAGUACUUUCAGCGGGGAGGAAGGCGAUAAGGUUAAUAACCUUGUCGAUUGACGUUACCCGCAGAAGAAGCACCGGCUAACUCCGUGCCAGCAGCCGCGGUAAUACGGAGGGUGCAAGCGUUAAUCGGAAUUACUGGGCGUAAAGCGCACGCAGGCGGUCUGUCAAGUCGGAUGUGAAAUCCCCGGGCUCAACCUGGGAACUGCAUUCGAAACUGGCAGGCUAGAGUCUUGUAGAGGGGGGUAGAAUUCCAGGUGUAGCGGUGAAAUGCGUAGAGAUCUGGAGGAAUACCGGUGGCGAAGGCGGCCCCCUGGACAAAGACUGACGCUCAGGUGCGAAAGCGUGGGGAGCAAACAGGAUUAGAUACCCUGGUAGUCCACGCCGUAAACGAUGUCGAUUUGGAGGUUGUGCCCUUGAGGCGUGGCUUCCGGAGCUAACGCGUUAAAUCGACCGCCUGGGGAGUACGGCCGCAAGGUUAAAACUCAAAUGAAUUGACGGGGGCCCGCACAAGCGGUGGAGCAUGUGGUUUAAUUCGAUGCAACGCGAAGAACCUUACCUGGUCUUGACAUCCACAGAACUUACCAGAGAUGGCUUGGUGCCUUCGGGAACUGUGAGACAGGUGCUGCAUGGCUGUCGUCAGCUCGUGUUGUGAAAUGUUGGGUUAAGUCCCGCAACGAGCGCAACCCUUAUCCUUUGUUGCCAGCGGUUCGGCCGGGAACUCAAAGGAGACUGCCAGUGAUAAACUGGAGGAAGGUGGGGAUGACGUCAAGUCAUCAUGGCCCUUACGACCAGGGCUACACACGUGCUACAAUGGCAUAUACAAAGAGAAGCGACCUCGCGAGAGCAAGCGGACCUCAUAAAGUAUGUCGUAGUCCGGAUUGGAGUCUGCAACUCGACUCCAUGAAGUCGGAAUCGCUAGUAAUCGUAGAUCAGAAUGCUACGGUGAAUACGUUCCCGGGCCUUGUACACACCGCCCGUCACACCAUGGGAGUGGGUUGCAAAAGAAGUAGGUAGCUUAACCUUCG
rnacentral:rRNA from 1 species